CGGGGUGUGGCUGAGCAGUCAGGCAUCUCACUUACACCGAGACUACAUCCAUGCAAUUUGGGUCACCCCGA
rnacentral:tRNA from 1 species